rnacentral:rRNA from 1 species
AUUGAACGCUGGCGGCAGGCCUAACACAUGCAAGUCGAGCGGAAGAAGGGAGCUUGCCCUUGGGUUCAGCGGCGGACGGGUGAGUAAUGCCUAGGAAUCUGCCUGGUAGUGGGGGAUAACGUCCGGAAACGGGCGCUAAUACCGCAUACGUCCUGCGGGAGAAAGUGGGGGACCUUAAGACCUCACGCAGACAGAUGAGCCUAGGUCGGAUUAGCUAGUUGGUGGGGUAAAGGCCUACCAAGGCGACGAUCCGUAACUGGUCUGAGAGGAUGAUCAGUCACACUGGAACUGAGACACGGUCCAGACUCCUACGGGAGGCAGCAGUGGGGAAUAUUGGACAAUGGGCGAAAGCCUGAUCCAGCCAUGCCGCGUGUGUGAAGAAGGUCUUCGGAUUGUAAAGCACUUUAAGCUGGAAGGAAGGCCAGGGAGUUAAUACCUUCGGGUGUUGACGGUACCAGCAGAAUAAGCACCGGCUAACUUCGUG